ensembl:lncRNA
CCCCCUGGAGGCGUUUGGCUGCAGUGCUGUGGGGGGCAGCAAUUGGAGCGCUUCCCCUUUAAGAGCACACAGCCCUAUCCCCAAACUGGGGGGGCAUUAUUAGCGUCCCCAACCCCUUUCCUGGGAAAUUUGACACAUUAUUAGGAAUCCUACUUAAUUAUUAAACCCCUAAUUAGGAGUUAUGUCGUCCCCUGGAGCCGUUAGCUGCACUGCUAUGAGGCGCAGCAAUCGGGGCGCUUCCCCUUUAAGAGCACACUGCCCUAUGCCCAAACUGGGGGGGCAUUAUUAGCGUCCCCAACCCCUUUACUGAUAAACUUCACACGUUUUUAGGGAUCUUACUUAAUUAUUAGACUCCUAAUCAGGGGCUGCGUCGCCCCCUGGAGCCAUUUGGCUGCAGUGCUAUGGGACGCAGCAAUCUGGGCGCUUCCCCUUUAAGAGCACACUGCCCUCUCCCCAAACUGGGGGGGCAUUCAUAAUGCCCUCCCCCAAUUUGCUGAGACAUUAUUAGGGACCCUACUUAAUUAUUAGACUCCUAAUUAGGGGCUGUGUCGCCCCCUGGAGGCGUUUGGCUGCACUGCUGUGGGGCGCAGCAAUCGAGGCACUUCCCCUUUAAGAGCACACAGCCCUAUCCCCAAACUGGGGGGGCAUUGUGAGUGUCCCCAACCCCUUUCCUGAGAAAUUUGACACAUUAUUAGGAAUCCUACUUAAUUAUUAAACCCCUAAUUAGGAGUUAUGUCGUCCCCUGGAGCCGUUUAGCUGCACUGCUAUGAGGCGCAGCAAUCGGGGCGCUUCCCCUUUAAGAGCACACAGCCCUAUGCCCAAACUGGGGGGGCGUUAUGAGUGUCCCCAACCCCUUUGCAGAGGAGACUUAACACGUUAUCAUGGAUGCUACUUAAUUAUUAGACCCCUAAUUAGGGGCUGUGGCGCCCCCUGGUCCCGUUUGACUGCACUGCUAUGGGG